rnacentral:lncRNA from 1 species
UAGUCGAAACCCUCAGGCAUCAGAUCUCCCAUCUCUCGACUCUUAUCUCAGAUCUCUCACUAUCUAUCUAUCUGAUCUCUCAUCUCUUAGUGCCCUAACCCAAAAUCCUAGUCCCCAAAUCGUGAGUCGUGACUCCGCUUCGCCUUUCUUUGCCCUAUAUUCGUCCGCAGGAAUCAGGAUAGUGGAAAUGGAGGCUUUUUAGAGAUUUAGAGAGAGAAGAUAAAAAUGGAGGUGUCGAGAUUACCAAUAUCAGCAUCACACAGAGGGAAGCUAAUAUAUGCAGGCUAUACUUCUAUUUAUUCCCUUUCCCCUCUCUCCAUCCGAUAUUGCUUGAGGUAAUAAUGAUACAUAUAUAUACACACACAUAAUUAUGUAUUAUACAACUCAUACUUUUUUUGUUUGUUUAAAUUGAAUAAUUGAUGCUUAUGAACUUAUAAAUGCUGUAUCUUAUUACUCUCACUGCAUGAAAUCUAUGGUUUUAUUUUAUUGAUUGAUUGAGUUUAGUUAUUCGCCUAUCAACUGUUGAUAUAAUUACGAUUUGAGUACUGCUGCAAGCUGACUUUAUAGCUACAAAUUCCUGAAUAGUUUCCUUAUAAAUUCAUUAGUUAGGACUCACUGGUUUGGCAUGAGCCUAAGAAGAUAUAUAGUUUAAAGAGUACGUAAUUCUAUCUAGAAGUUAGAAUCACUUGGAUUCACUAGUGUUUAUUGAGUAUGCUUCUUUCCUUUAUUUUUUGGUUUAAGCAGUGGCUUUAGCUAAUAUCCUAGAAAGGAUUUGAGUCCUUUUCUUUUAGUGGGUUCUGUAAAUGAGAGAUGUGAUCUUUAGGUUUGUUAAAAAAUUGGUGUGUCGUCCUCAUUCUGAGAGUGGGGUUUUGGGUUUGGCAAUUGAUUUUGAUUUUUUUUAUCAUUGGUAAGUGGUAAUUAUGUUGUCCUUUGGAUCCAUACUCUUAUGGGAUUAGGUGAUCAUAAUAAUACUUGGCCUCCAGGCUACAGCAAAAUAGUUAAUAUGCCAUCCUACUUCAUAAUUGAUUAAUUCUAGAAGUUCCUUUGGCAGGGUUACUCUUCCUUUCCCUUUUUUUCUAUAGUAAAGUAGCCAGGGGAUGGUAGGCAAAUUCAUUUUUAGCAGGAUAUCUGGGUUCGUAAUGUUUCCUUGUGUGUUUUUUUUGGGUUUAAUCUAUAUUCAUUCCCUAGACAACCCACCUACUUCUAGUUUCUAAAGUAGUGAAAGGAAUUUGCUUUAGUUUUGCAAUUUGUUUAUCUUGUUUUUGCCUACAUACAAAUAUGCACAUCGUAUACGAAUCUGUUUAUUCUAUUUACAAACAUGAGUAUGCCAAUCUGUAUAAGUACACGCGUAUUGUUAUGCCAAUCAAGUUAUUUUACCACAACCCUUGUUCGUUUAAGUCAGAUAUUUGAACUUAAGAAAAUUUGGAUAUAUAUGAAAGUGGAAAAUGGUAAAAGAUUACAUAGAGAAUAAUAAGGUUUGUAUCGUAACUGCUACAUAAUCAUAAUUACUCUGAUACAGGUUGCUGUUCUGCGCCAAUCUUUCACUUUGAUAUUUGAAUACCCUCUAGUUACCAGCAUGAUCACAAUUUUAUUGAU